AUGUUCGAGUAUGUAAAUGUUGUCAGCAAGAUGUUUGAUAGUGAGGCUGAAGGCUAUGAAUUCUAUAACAAAUAUGCUCUUGAAAAAGGUUUUAGUGUGAGGAAAAGCUACGUUGAGUGGGAUGGAUCCAACAAAUACAUAAUUUUAAGGAAAAUUGUGUGUAGUCGUCAAGGGUUUCGCGAAGAUAAGCACAUGAAAAGAAAGAUGGAAGAUAGAAAGAGGAGGCCACGAAGUUUAACUCGUGUUGGGUGUAAUACUAAAUUGGUCAUUACGAGACAGGAGGAAACCGGUCGGUGGUUUGUCAAGGAUUCCAUCGAUGAGCACAGCCAUCCUCUAGCCCCACGGGAUCUUUCUUGUCUGCUGCGUUCGCACAGACGAAUUAGCGAUGAGCAGAAAGCGGACAUUGCGGACAUGGAAAAAUGUGGGAUCCGCAAAUACCGUAUUAUGGAUAUUUUGUGCUUUCAAUACGGUGGAUUUGAUAAGGUUGGAUGCACAAAGAGGGACGUUUAUAAUUUCUGCCAUGCUAAUAAGUAG
rnacentral:rRNA from 1 species